AUUCAAGUUCUCUUUAUUUUCUUUUUUUAUAACUUUAUUUGUUGAUUUGGUUGAUUCUCUUCAUUGGGUUUUAAUUAUUUUUCGAUUAUUGGUUGAUUUCAGGUUGAUUUCUCAAUUUGGUGCGGUUAUUAGAGAUUGAUUUUGCAAACUUCACAGGUAUUUAUUGUUUGAUUUCUGUCAGACAGCUUAACUUAUAGGAACAUCUUCAUCAGACAAGUAUGAUAUGAGGAGAGGUCGGUUUGCAAAGGACGGACUGAUUCAGUACCGGAUUGUAUGCCAACAAGUUAAUGUUGGUUCUCUAUAAGAGGUGAUCAAACUCUUUUUGCAUAUUUCAACUGAGAAAGCUGAAAACGCAAAGACCCAGGCAGAGGCUUUAGAAGAAGCUUUAGACAUUGAUGACUGCGCAUCGAGUCUUCCGGUUUUGUAACAAGCACAAGAGAACAACUGAAUUCCGUAGGCUUUACGAAAUAAUCAGAAACCAUCUUGCAAAUCUUAACAAAUACAAGGACCAAAUAGACAUACCUGACUAAUUGAGAUUGAACUUUGGCAGGAAGCUUUUCGUUUUGUGGAAGACAUUCAUGGUUUGAUGUGUAUGGUAAAGAAAACUCCCAAGCCAUCAGUGAUGGUCAUUUAUUAUGGCAAGCUGGCAGAGAUGUUCCGGGUUUCGAACAGUCAACUUUAUAAUGCCUAUGCAUGGUCCAAAAUGAUCUCACGACAAAGGAACCAAUCCCUGUUAUACAACUUGUCAGAGAAACUGCUGCUGUCAUGCAAGAGUUUACUCAAUCUGGGUACACUGAUGAUGUGGAGCUUGAAGAUGCUACUCACACGACUAUUUUGACUCUGAAAGAAGGGUGCUUGGAACUGAUGAUAGUGGAUUUACUGCAAAUGAGAAUGAAGCUCCAUCAAUUUUGACAACUGUUGGAGAUGAUGAGUAUUGGAGUGGAGAAUCUUAGGGAACAAGAAAUGGGGAUACACGUACAUGAAUGAACUUGCCCAACACCUUAUAAUUCAACUGGUGGAAAUCAUGUAGCUCCCCUGCGCACAUGAAGUCGCAAGUGAACCAAUGACACAGCACAUGGAUGCUCUGCUUGAUAUCAUUUGUGAAGUAUUGGCUAAUUAAGUUCAUUGUCAUAGGAGGAGCUGAAUUAUCAUUUUGUUUUUUUUAACAGUUAUCUAUUAGUUUAGCAUGUUGUUGUCAGAACUUAGCUAUCUUGGACAUGUAUUCUCCGAACUCAAUAUUUCA